UACGUAGGGACCGAGCGUUGUCCGGAAUCAUUGGGCGUAAAGAGCGUGUAGGCGGCCUGUUAAGUCUUGCGUGAAAGCCCACGGCUCAACCGUGGAGGGUCAUUGGAAACUGGGGGACUUGAGUACAGAAGAGAAGAGUGGAAUUCCACGUGUAGCGGUGAAAUUCGUAGAUAUUGGGAAGAACACCGGUGGCGAAGGCGGCGACCUGGUCCUUUACUGACGCUGAGGCGCGAAAGCGUGGGGAGCAAACAGG
rnacentral:rRNA from 1 species